UGGGGAAUAUUGCACAAUGGGCGCAAGCCUGAUGCAGCGACGCCGCGUGAGGGAUGGAGGCCUUCGGGUUGUAAACCUCUUUCGCCAGUGAAGCAGGCCAUCUUCUUUGUGGGGUGGUUGACGGUAGCUGGAUAAGAAGCGCCGGCUAACUACGUGCCAGCAGCCGCGGUAAUACGUAGGGCGCGAGCGUUGUCCGGAAUUAUUGGGCGUAAAGAGCUCGUAGGCGGCUGGUCGCGUCUGUCGUGAAAUCCCCUGGCGUAACUGGGGGCUUGCGGUGGGUACGGGCCGGCUUGAGUGCGGUAGGGGAGACUGGAAUUCCUGGUGUAUCGGUGGAAUGCGCAGAUAUCAGGAGGAUCACCGGUGGCGAAGGCGGGUCUCUGGGUCGUUACUGACGCUGAGGAGCGAAAGCGUGGGGAGCGAACAGG
rnacentral:rRNA from 1 species